rnacentral:rRNA from 1 species
UAAGACGAGGGAUCCUAGCGUUGUUCGGAAUCAUUGGGCGUAAAGCGGGUGUAGGUGGCUAUCCAAGUCAGGUGUGAAAGCCCUGGGCUCAACCCAGGAAGUGCACUUGAUACUGUUUAGCUUGAAUGUGGGAGAGGAAAGUGGAAUACCUAGUGUAGUGGUGAAAUACGUAGAUAUUAGGUGGAACACCGGAGGCGAAGGCGGCUUUCUGGCCCAACAUUGACACUGAGACCCGAAAGCGUGGGGAUCAAACAGG